GAUACUUUGCUUUUUAGCACUGAAAAUUUGAAUUUUCAAUUCUUUUUUCCCCGCUUUUUCUCCUUAGCUAAACUUUUGUGAGGUGAUAUUUGUGGCACUUUACAUGGUUAUCUACUUAUACAUUUUCCAAUUAUGCAAUGCUUGUGCACGGCUGUUAACCUGUUGGAGUUGUUCUGGCUAUUUAGAUCUAUCCUAUUGAGUAUAGACACAUCAUAUGUGGCCGCCGAUUUGUUCUUUAAAAUUGUUUGUGUCGAGAGUUCUCCUAUAGUUCUUAUUGAUGCCUUUGGGCCUUUUGCAUUACAUAUUUGAAAUGCAAAGAUUCUAUCUUCCUGGUGUCACACUCUGCUGAAGUGUUUUUUUACAUGCAGGAACAAUAUAUUAG
rnacentral:misc_RNA from 1 species